GGCCGUUUGGUCUAUCCCUGUCCCUGAGAUAAGGAAGCCAUCAAUGCGGGAGUAGGUGUUGUGCACUGUCGAAAAGAAUGUGUACCCUCUUUCCCCUACAUGAGUGGCUCUCCAUACAUCAUACAGAUGGUUAUUGUGUAUAAGCUUGCAGAGUGCUUUACUUUGUUUGCGGAGGGGUGCGUUGCGCUUUCUAGCUGGAGCUAGUGUCGUAUCUAUGGAGGGGUCAAAUACAUGAUUGAAG